GUCGCCCUCCACCCGCCUGCAGAAAGCCCACUCCCUACAGUCACCUUGACAUUGCUCACCUGCCUGGGCCUCAGCCCAUGACCAAGGAAACUUUUGCCCUCCCUCCCCAGGAGCUCACUUACAGGCCAUCUUCAAAGGUACUGCCUACCUGAACCUGCCUUGUCCCAAAGGACACACUUCAAUCUGGGGAGAGUUUAAAGUUGUAGACAUAUCCAUUUUCAUUUAAGGAAUAUGAAGAUCAGGGAGGCAAAAUAUAGAGAUAUAGAGAGGAAAAACUGAGAGAUGAUCAGAAAUUCAGACGCAUUCGGAAUGAGCACCCUUGACCAUACCAAGAACAAAGACUCUAUAAAAAUGUGAAGUCUUAUUAUUGUUCAUCCAUGUUCUACGUGGGAUCCACCCAAGACAUUGAAAACUGUACAGAACAGGGUGAAAUUGAAUCAGAUCAUUCUGUACUCCUAACAAGGUCCACCCCAUGAGAGACUUGCAGCAGAAUUAAUGACACUGUAUAUUUUCCUCUACUAACAACAACAAGAACAACAACAACAACAAUCUAGGAAAAUCAAAGGCAGCCCGACAUGGAAAAAAACACAAAAUGAAUAUUUGGAUUACAAAUAGUGUGAUGGGAAGAACACACUGCCAAAAGUCCACCUAGUAUGUUGAAAUUACUGUUUCUAGCACAUAUAAGAUUUGCUGCCAAUUUGUACUGACUUCUGAAAAAUACUUUAUCCAUUGUCUUCUUACAUCAGAAUCAACUCCCUAAAUUCUUCAGCACUGGCUUUGUAAACUGGUUUCUGGUCUUUGUUUCUGUCAACUUACCUAUAAAAGGAUACAAAAACUGAAGAACAGAGAGGAGCAGAUACCCUGGAAAGCCGAAAGUUUUAUUGACCAAAGACUGAGUCUCGGAAUGUUUUGAUUGUGGAGUUUAUAGAGUUCAGGCUGAAGUUUUAUAAAAAUAACUUGCAGCAGCAUGGAGGACUGAUGAGAAAGUAGACAGAUGCUGGAAGCAGGAAAACUGAACAGCAGGUCACUGGCCAAGGAGAAUCAAAGAGCUAGAUGCUGAGAAUAAUGCAGCCAUAACGUGAAAUCUUUUUGAGACCACUCACUCUGGGAGAAAGCAACUGGCUAUGUCAUGAGGAAAUUGAAACCACCUAUGGAGAAAGGCCCACAUGGUGAGAAAGUAAAGCCUCUUCCCAAUACCAAAAUUCUGUAAGUCUGCUACGGUGACAUUUCUGGUUAGGAGUCAGAGUGGAUGGGACACUGAGCAAUAAGGCAAAGUUGGACAUCCCAAAGAUGGCAUAGAUAAACAUGACCAGGAAGAGCAGGAGGCCGAUGUUAAACAACGCAGGAAGGGACAUCAUCAAAGCAAAGAGCAGCGUGCGGAUCCCCUUUGCUCCUUUGAUCAGACGUAGGAUUCGGCCAAUCCUGGCAAGACGGAUCACUCGGAACAAGUUCUGACUCACUGCUGAACUCUUCAGUAUUUAAGUUUUCAAAGUCAGACUCUCCAACAGCAAUUGGCACUGUGACGCACGCGGAACACAAUCAGGAAGGAGUGGAAGAAGUCGUUCAUGUGCCACCGUGGGAGCGUACAGUCAUCAUUGAUCUUGCAGACACAUUCUUUGUAGCUCUUACCAAAGAGCUGCAUGCCGACCACAGCAAAAAUGAAGACGAUGAUGGCCAACACCAAGGCUCCGAGCACAUCAUUGGCACCAAAAUAGAGCAAAGGACUGUG
rnacentral:lncRNA from 1 species